UGGCUCGAGGACGACGCUGGCGGCGUGCUUAACACAUGCAAGUCGAACGGAAAGGCCCUGCUUUUGUGGGGUGCUCGAGUGGCGAACGGGUGAGUAACACGUGAGUAACCUGCCCUUGACUUUGGGAUAACUUCAGGAAACUGGGGCUAAUACCGGAUAGGAGCUCCUGCUGCAUGGUGGGGGUUGGAAAGUUUCGGCGGUUGGGGAUGGACUCGCGGCUUAUCAGCUUGUUGGUGGGGUAGUGGCUUACCAAGGCUUUGACGGGUAGCCGGCCUGAGAGGGUGACCGGCCACAUUGGGACUGAGAUACGGCCCAGACUCCUACGGGAGGCAGCAGUGGGGAAUAUUGCACAAUGGGCGGAAGCCUGAUGCAGCAACGCCGCGUGCGGGAUGACGGCCUUCGGGUUGUAAACCGCUUUCGCCUGUGACGAAGCGUGAGUGACGGUAAUGGGUAAAGAAGCACCGGCUAACUACGUG
rnacentral:rRNA from 1 species